UAAGUGGAGAGUUUGAUCCUGGCUCAGAACGAACGCUGGCGGCGUGCUUAACACAUGCAAGUCGAGCGCGAAAGUCCUUCGGGAUGAGUAGAGCGGCGCACGGGUGAGUAACACGUGGGUAAUCUGCCCUCGGGUCUGGAAUAACUAAGGGAAACUUUAGCUAAUGCCGGAUAAGACCACACAACGAGAGUUGUGUGGGAAAAGCAGGGGCCCUCUUCGGAGGCCUUGCGCCGGAGGAUGAGCCCGCGGCCCAUCAGCUAGUUGGCGGGGUAAUGGCCCACCAAGGCUAAGACGGGUAGCUGGUCUGAGAGGAUGACCAGCCACACUGGAACUGAGACACGGUCCAGACUCCUACGGGAGGCAGCAGUGGGGAAUAUUGCGCAAUGGGGGAAACCCUGACGCAGCAACGCCGCGUGAGUGAUGAAGGCCUUCGGGUCGUAAAGCUCUGUCGGCAGGAACGAGGGUGUGUGGCUCUAAUAAAGGCAUGCAUUGACGGUACCUGCAAAGGAAGCACCGGCUAACUCUGUGCCAGCAGCCGCGGUAAGACAGAGGGUGCAAGCGUUGUUCGGAAUUAUUGGGCGUAAAGGGCGCGUAGGCGGCCUGUUUAGUCGGAUGUGAAAGCCCAGGGCUCAACCUUGGAAGUGCAUCCGAAACUGGCAGGCUUGAGUACUGCAGAGGGUGGUGGAAUUCCUAGUGUAGAGGUGAAAUUCGUAGAUAUUAGGAGGAACACCGGUGGCGAAGGCGACCACCUGGACAGAAACUGACGCUGAGGCGCGAGAGCGUGGGUAGCAAACAGGAUUAGAUACCCUGGUAGUCCACGCCGUAAACGAUGGAUACUAGGUGUUUCGGGUAUUGACCCCCGAAGUGCCGUCGCUAACGCAUUAAGUAUCCCGCCUG
rnacentral:rRNA from 1 species